AUUCCCGUGCAGUGGCAGUACCAUAGCCAAUGAGGUUUAUCCCAGGCACAAUUAUUGCUAAUUGAAAACUUUUCCCAAUACCCCGCUGUGAUAACUUGAUGUUGUAUAUUUAAAUGAGUAUAAAUUACC
rnacentral:snRNA from 1 species